AUUGAACGCUGGCGGCAUGCCUUACACAUGCAAGUCGAACGGCAGCACGGGAGCUUGCUCCUGGUGGCGAGUGGCGAACGGGUGAGUAAAGCAUCGGAACGUACCGUGAAGUGGGGGAUAACGUAGCGAAAGUUACGCUAAUACCGCAUAUUCUGUGAGCAGGAAAGAGGGGGAUAGAAAGACCUCUUGCUUUACGAGCGGCCGAUGUCGGAUUAGCUAGUUGGUGAGGUAAAGGCUCACCAAGGCGACGAUCCGUAGCGGGUCUGAGUGGAUGAUCCGCCACACUGGGACUGAGACACGGCCCAGACUCCUACGGGAGGCAGCAGUGGGGAAUUUUGGACAAUGGGCGCAAGCCUGAUCCAGCCAUGCCGCGUGAGUGAAGAAGGCCUUCGGGUUGUAAGCUCUUUCGGCGGGGAAGAAAUUGCACUUGUUAAUACCGAGUGUAGAUGACGGUACCCGCAUAAGAAGCACCGGCUAACUACGUGCCAGCAGCCGCAGUAAAAC
rnacentral:rRNA from 1 species